rnacentral:rRNA from 1 species
UACGUAGGGUGCAGGCGUUAAUCGGAAUUACUGGGCGUAAAGCGUGCGCAGGCGGUUGUGCAAGACAGAUGUGAAAUCCCCGGGCUCAACCUGGGAAUUGCAUUUGUGACUGCACGGCUAGAGUGUGUCAGAGGGGGGUAGAAUUCCACGUGUAGCAGUGAAAUGCGUAGAGAUGUGGAGGAAUACCGAUGGCGAAGGCAGCCCCCUUGGAUAACACUGACGCUCAUGCACGAAAGCGUGGGGAGCAAACAGG